rnacentral:rRNA from 1 species
GAUGAACGCUGGCGGCGUGCCUAAUACAUGCCAGUCGAGCGAACAGACGAGGAGCUUGCUCCUCUGACGUUAGCGGCGGACGGGUGAGUAACACGUGGAUAACCUACCUAUAAGACUGGGAUAACUUCGGGAAACCGGAGCUAAUACCGGAUAACAUGUUGAACCGCAUGGUUCAACAGUGAAAGACGGUCUUGCUGUCACUUAUAGAUGGAUCCGCGCCGCAUUAGCUAGUUGGUAAGGUAACGGCUUACCAAGGCAACGAUGCGUAGCCGACCUGAGAGGGUGAUCGGCCACACUGGAACUGAGACACGGUCCAGACUCCUACGGGAGGCAGCAGUAGGGAAUCUGCCGCAAUGGGCGAAAGCCUGACGGAGCAACGCCGCGUGAGUGAAGAAGGUCUUCGGAUCGUAAAACUCUGUUAUUAGGGAAGAACAAAUGUGUAAGUAACUAUGCACGUCUUGACGGUACCUAAUCAGAAAGCCACGGCUAACUACGUG